ACCUUGAACCUAAAACUCCAUCUCUGCUCCAACUACCUGCAAAGAAAGAGGAAGAGGAAGAAGAAGCUUCGACUAAUGAUUCUAGACGUUGAAUGCUUGGAUCUCUCUUCCAUGAUCCGAAACUUUCUAGUUCAUUUGUCCUCUCCUGCAAAGUUUUCAUGAAUGUAUGUUUAGGGUUUGGAUCACACUCAAACUCAAGAGCCAAAUCCAAUACGUUCAUUGCUUCAGAAGGGAUCGGCUUGUGGAAGGUCUUGGUGUCUAAUGGAGUCCACCCAUGUCUAAUCAAGUUGCAACUCUGCAGGAAUUAGAUUGAUUCGUAUCUUUUGAGGAGGGAUUACAACCUGUCUGUGGAUCGUCUCUUGGAACUUGGGUCGGUGGCCGACGUCCUCAGGGGUGCUUCGAUGGAGACGAUGGCGAGCGAAAUCCUUGGUUUUCAUGGAAUCAAGAAGCCUAGAUGGAUUGGUAGGAGGAUCACACUCAAACUGAAGAGCCAAAUCCAAUACGUUCAUUGCUUCAGAAGGGAUCGGCUUGUGGAAGGUCUUGGUGUCUAAUGGAGUCCACCCAUGUCUAAUCAAGUUGCAACUCUGCAGGUAUGCGUUGGUUGCCAGUGUCACAUCUUCCAAAUUAUACACUCAAAUUCCAUCCCUCGAGUACUGAGGAGGUUCCUCUCUUAUAAUUCUGCUACCACUUUUGUUGGGGGCAGGAAUUAGAUUGAUUCGUAUCUUUUGAGGAGGGAUUACAACCUGUCUGUGGAUCGUCUCUUGGAACUUGGGUCGGUGGCCGACGUCCUCAGGGGUGCUUCGAUGGAGACGAUGGCGAGCGAAAUCCUUGGUUUUCAUGGAAUCAAGAAGCCUAGAUGGAUUGGUAGGAGCAACUGGGAUGAUUGGUGGCUUUCAAAGGAUCAAGUCCAAUAUGCUUGUGUUGAUGCUCAUCUUUCCUUUGAGAUUGGAAAGAAAUUAAAUGUAUGGUCCGUACCAUUGUGAGCUACAGAUAUUGCUUUUAGGGUUUUAUUUUUUUGAUCUUUCUGUUUAAGGUUUAGGAAUGAUGAACCCCAGUACAAGUUUAGAAUCUUGAGAUAUGAGUAUAGAAUGGAUUGAAAUGUGUAAUUUGAAUCAUGCAAAUAGAAUGGCCUAUAUUAGCUGUGGAGAUUUUCUGAGUUUA